rnacentral:rRNA from 1 species
UACAGGGGAGGCCAAGCGUUGUUCGGAUUUAUCGGUGCGUAAAGGGCGCGUAGGCGGCCACCGCAAGUCGGUUGUGAAAUCUCUGGGCUUAACCCAGAAAGGUCAACCGAUACUGCGGGGCUAGAGUGCAGAAGGGGCAACUGGAAUUCUCGGUGUAGCGGUGAAAUGCGUAGAUAUCGAGAGGAACACCUGCGGCGAAGGCGGGUUGCUGGGCUGACACUGACGCUGAUGCGCGAAAGCCAGGGGAGCGAAACGGG